rnacentral:rRNA from 1 species
AUGAACGCUGGCGGCGUGCCUAAUACAUGCAAGUCGAGCGAACAGACGAGGAGCUUGCUCCUCUGACGUUAGCGGCGGACGGGUGAGUAACACGUGGAUAACCUACCUAUAAGACUGGGAUAACUUCGGGAAACCGGAGCUAAUACCGGAUAAUAUAUUGAACCGCAUGGUUCAAUAGUGAAAGACGGUUUUGCUGUCACUUAUAGAUGGAUCCACGCCGCAUUAGCUAGUUGGUAAGGUAACGGCUUACCAAGGCAACGAUGCGUAGCCGACCUGAGAGGGUGAUCGGCCACACUGGAACUGAGACACGGCCCAGACUCCUACGGGAGGCAGCAGUAGGGAAUCUUCCGCAAUGGGCGAAAGCCUGACGGAGCAACGCCGCGUGAGUGAUGAAGGUCUUCGGAUCGUAAAACUCUGUUAUUAGGGAAGAACAAAUGUGUAAGUAACUAUGCACGUCUUGACGGUACCUAAUCAGAAAGCCACGGCUAACUACGUG